AUACUUACCUGGCAGGGAGGGGAGAUACCGUGAUCAUGAAAGUGGUUUUCUUAGGGUGAGGCUUAUCCAUUGUACCCUGGACGUGCUACCCCUGUGGUUUCCCCAAAUGUGGGAAACUCAUAGUGGUGGACUGCAUUCUCACUCUCCCCUU
rnacentral:snRNA from 1 species